GACGUAGGGCGCGAGCGUUGUCCGGAUUUAUUGGGCGUAAAGAGCUCGUAGGCGGCUUGUUGCGUCAGCUGUGAAAACCCGCAGCUCAACUGUGGGCUUGCAGCUGAUACGGGCAGGCUUGAGUUCGGUAGGGGAGACUGGAAUUCCUGGUGUAGCGGUGAAAUGCGCAGAUAUCGGGAGGAACACCGGUGGCGAAGGCGGUUCUCUGGGCCUGUACUGACGCUGAGGAGCGAAAAGCGUGGGGAGCGAACAGG
rnacentral:rRNA from 1 species